rnacentral:rRNA from 1 species
UACGUAGGGUGCGAGCGUUGUCCGGAAUUAUUGGGCGUAAAGAGCUCGUAGGCGGUUUGUCGCGUCGGAUGUGAAACCCCGGGGCUUAACUCCGGGCCUGCAUUCGAUACGGGCUGACUAGAGUUCGGCAGGGGAGACUGGAAUUCCUGGUGUAGCGGUGAAAUGCGCAGAUAUCAGGAGGAACACCGGUGGCGAAGGCGGGUCUCUGGGCCGAUACUGACGCUGAGGAGCGAAAGCGUGGGGAGCAAACAGG